CAGCCGCCGCGGUAAUACGUAGGGUGCAAGCGUUAUCCGGAAUCAUUGGGUUUAAAGGGUCCGUAGGCGGUCUUGUAAGUCAGUGGUGAAAGCCCAUCGCUCAACGGUGGAACGGCCAUUGAUACUGCAGGACUUGAAUUAUUGGGAAGUAACUAGAAUAUGUAGUGUAGCGGUGAAAUGCUUAGAGAUUACAUGGAAUACCAAUUGCGAAGGCAGGUUACUACCAAUUGAUUGACGCUGAUGGACGAAAGCGUGGGUAGCGAACAGGAUUAGAGACCCCUGUAGUCCCUGUCUCUUAUAC
rnacentral:rRNA from 1 species